CCCCUGCCUUCGAGUAGGGGAUGGUGCCUCUCUGACUAGGUCAGGUUCCCUCCCCUCUCUGAUCUGGAAUGUAUAGUUCUAGAUUUUGGUGGUUGGUUGUGUAGAUAUGAUUCUGUUAUUGAAGGUCUUAUGGAGGAAAUCUGCCAGUGAAAGCAGUGAGUUUGAAGUUAUGUUUAGUGUUGGUGCUUCUUGUGUUUUGAGUGGUCCCCUUCUUGAUGAUUUUCAUUGACUUUGGGAGAGAUUCGGUGAAAGACUAUUUGGGGAUGGAAGAGUCGGCGUUAAUGUUGUUUGCUAGCUUUCCAUGGCUAGAUGAGAAUGAGACUGCCAUGGCCCUGAGCCUGUGGAUGGUAUGCUUGCUUGGUUGUGGGGUGAUUUUUCCUUGCUUUGGCUGCUUUCUUAUUUUUUAUGGAGGAAGGAUUUCCCUAAAAGGCUUCCAGUGAGCUUCUCUUGCCCAGUUAUGAUCGGCAGCGGCUGUGUUGAUUGUUGAUAGAUGCUCAAGGUUUAUCAGUUUGUUUCAACUAGGGUUGUUUAUUUAGGGGCCGG
rnacentral:misc_RNA from 1 species